rnacentral:rRNA from 1 species
UACGAAGGGGGCUAGCGUUGCUCGGAAUCACUGGGCGUAAAGCGCACGUAGGCGGCUUUCUAAGUCAGGGGUGAAAUCCUGGAGCUCAACUCCAGAACUGCCUUUGAUACUGGGAAGCUCGAGUCCGGAAGAGGUGAGUGGAACUCCGAGUGUAGAGGUGAAAUUCGUAGAUAUUCGGAAGAACACCAGUGGCGAAGGCGGCCGACUGGUCCGGUUCUGACGCUGAGGCGCGAAAGCGUGGGGAGCAAACAGG